CCUACGGGUGGCUGCAGUGGGGGAUAUUGCACAAUGGGGGGAACCCUGAUGCAGCGACGCCGCGUGGGUGAAGAAGCGCCUCGGCGCGUAAAGCCCUGUCAGCAGGGAAGAAAAUGACGGUAACUGAAGAAGAAGCUCCGGCUAAAUACGUGCCAGAAGCUGCGGGAAUACGUAGGGGCCAAGCGUUAUCCGGGUUUACUGGGGGUAAAGGAGGCGCAGACGGCGAUGCAAGCCAGGGGUGAAAGCCCGGGGCCCAAACCCGGGACCGCUCUUGAUACUGCGUGGCUGGAGUGCAGGAGGGGUAGGCGGAAUUCUUGGUGAAGCGGUGGAAUGCGUAGAUAUCAGGAGGAACACCGGUGGCGAAGGCAGUCUGCUGGACUGCAACUGACGUUGAGGCCCGAAAGCGUGGGGAGCAAACAGGAUUAGAUACCCGUGUAGUC
rnacentral:rRNA from 1 species